rnacentral:rRNA from 1 species
GCGGACUGGUGAGUAACGCGUGGGCGACCUGCCCCGGGGAUGGGGACAGCCGCUGGAAACAGCGGGUAAUACCGAAUACGCUUGUGCAGCCGAGGCUGUAUGAGGAAAGGGGCUUCGGCCCCGCCCCGGGAUGGGCCCGCGUCCCAUUAGCUAGUUGGGGGGGUAACGGCCCGCCAAGGCGAAGAUGGGUAGCCGGCCUGAGAGGGCGAACGGCCACACUGGGACUGAGAUACGGCCCAGACUCCUACGGGAGGCAGCAGCUAAGAAUAUUCCGCAAUGGGCGAAAGCCUGACGGAGCGACGCCGCGUGGAUGACGAAGGCCGAAAGGUUGUAAAAUCCUUUUGCGGGCGAAGAAGAAGGCCUGGAGGGAAUGCCAGGCCGGUGACGCCGGCCCGCGAAUAAGCCCCGGCUAAUUACGUGCCAGCAGCCGCGGUAACACGUAAGGGGCGAGCGUUGUUCGGAAUUAUUGGGCGUAAAGGGCGCGUAGGCGGCCCUGUAAGUCUGAUGUGAAAACCCCGGGCUCAACCCGGGAACUGCAUUGGAAACUGCAAGGCUUGAGUCACGGAGGGGAAGCCGGAAUUCCUGGUGUAGGGGUGAAAUCUGUAGAUAUCAGGAAGAACACCGAUGGCGAAGGCAGGCUUCCAGCCGAUGACUGACGCUGAGGCGCGAAAGUGCGGGGAGCAAACAGGAUUAGAUACCCUGGUAGUCCGCACUGUAAACGAUGCACACUAGGCGUCGGGGCGAGCGUUCCGGUGCCGAAGCGAACGCGGUAAGUGUGCCGCCUGGGGAGUAUGCCCGCAAGGGUGAAACUCAAAGGAAUUGAC